UUGGUCAAUGUUUAGAGGAAGUAUAAGUCGUUACCAAGGUUUGCGUAGGUGAACCUGCGGAAGGAUCAUUA
rnacentral:rRNA from 1 species